GAUGAACGCUAGCUACAGGCUUAACACAUGCAAGUCGAGGGGUAACGAGAGGAAAGCUUGCUUUCCUUGUCGACGACCGGCGCACGGGUGAGUAACGCGUAUCCAACCUGCCCCCAACUAGGGAAUAACCUUGCGAAAGUAAGACUAAUACCCUAUAAUUUCCUCAGAUGUCAUCUGACGAGGAAUAAAGAUUUAUCGGUUGUGGAUGGAGAUGCGUCUGAUUAGGUUGUUGGCGGGGUAACGGUCCACCAAGGCAACGAUCAGCAGGGGUUCUGAGAGGAAGGUCCCCCACAUUGGAACUGAGACACGGACCAAACUCCUACGGGAGGCAGCAGUGAGGAAUAUUGGUCAAUGGACGGAAGCCUGAACCAGCCAAGUAGCGUGCAGGAUGACGGCCCUAUGGGUUGUAAACUGCUUUUAUACAGGAAUAAAGUUAGCCACGUGUGGUUAUUUGUAGGUACUGUAUGAAUAAGGACCGGCUAAUUCCGUGCCAGCAGCCGCCGUAA
rnacentral:rRNA from 1 species